UGCUCCUACGGGGGGCAGCAGUGAGGAAUAUUGGUCAAUGGGCGAGAGCCUGAACCAGCCAAGUCGCGUGAGGGAUGACGGUCCUAUGGAUUGUAAACCUCUUUUGUCAGGGAGCAAAGGGCGCCACGUGUGGCGCUUUGCGAGUACCUGAAGAAAAAGCAUCGGCUAACUCCGUGCCAGCAGCCGCGGUAAUACGGAGGAUGCGAGCGUUAUCCGGAUUUAUUGGGGUUAAAGGGUGCGCAGGCGGAAUGUCAAGUCAGCGGUAAAAUUUCGGGGCUCAACCCCGGCGUGCCGUUGAAACUGGC
rnacentral:rRNA from 1 species